rnacentral:rRNA from 1 species
CCGCAUAAGCCCACGGUACCGCAUGGUACUGAGGGAAAAGGAAUUAUUCGCUUUAGGAUGGACUCGCGUCCAAUUAGCUAGUUGGUGAGGUAACGGCCCACCAAGGCGACGAUUGGUAGCCGGACUGAGAGGUUGAACGGCCACAUUGGGACUGAGACACGGCCCAGACUCCUACGGGAGGCAGCAGUGGGGGAUAUUGCACAAUGGGGGAAACCCUGAUGCAGCGACGCCGCGUGGAGGAAGAAGGUUUUCGGAUUGUAAACUCCUGUCGUUAGGGACGAUAAUGACGGUACCUAACAAGAAAGCACCGGCUAACUACGUGCCAGCAGCCGCGGUAAAACGUAGGGUGCAAGCGUUGUCCGGAAUUACUGGGUGUAAAGGGAGCGCAGGCGGGAAGACAAGUUGGAAGUGAAAACCAUGGGCUCAACCCAUGAAUUGCUUUCAAAACUGUUUUUCUUGAGUAGUGCAGAGGUAGAUGGAAUUCCCGGUGUAGCGGUGGAAUGCGUAGAUAUCGGGAGGAACACCAGUGGCGAAGGCGGUCUACUGGGCACCAACUGACGCUGAGGCUCGAAAGCAUGGGUAGCAAACAGGAUUAGAUACCCUGGUAGUCCAUGCCGU